CUCAGGCUCGUUCUGAUUUUAGCUUGCAGCCUGGGCUCCGGUGAUGUGAGGAGAAUCAGGCAGCGAGAUUACGUUAUCAGCCGAAGGAGGAGGCAGUUCGAGUAAAACAGGACCCAGUCUGAACCUUCGUCCCCUCGCACCAAAGCCACCUCUGCUUGGCCUCAAAUAAGACCAAAUUUACCGAAGCUUUGGGGGAGAGCCAGAAUGGGAGCCCGGGUCCCCCGGGUGUCUCACUUCUGCAGGAGGCGGGGCCUUGUGACGGAGCUCGCGCUGAGCAGAGCUUCUAAGGUUGUUUAACCUCUACCGUGCAGAAACGUGGGAAGCUGCCUGGCUUUGAUUCCAGCCUCUGCCUUCCUCACUGUGUGACCUUGACUGAAUUACCCAGCCUUUCUGAGUGUCUCCUAUCUCACGGCAAGAUGUCAAGGGGAAGAUUUAGCCACCACCCAGCCCCUCUCCAGCUUGGUGGCCCCAGGCCUGCUGUGAGUGGGGCGGGAAAGAGGAAGAGAGGAAGAGAUUCUCAUAGCGACUCCUCUUACUGUGCAAAGGCCCGCUCCUGGUCAAGUUCAUGCCCAGCACUUUGGUUUUUUAUCUGUUUGCUUACCGCUUCCUGGGUCAAAACAAAAGUAAAAUGCUGCGGGUCUUGUGGUCGCUCUACGACAUUUCUGUCGUUUCUUCAGGAGUGCACGCUUGACUUGACCAAGCUCAGCAGGAGGAAUUGUCUUGUAGAAGCUCAGUCUGGACCCGGGGACAGGGCUUCUGGACCCAUCAUUCCGAUGAAAACAACCCAAGUAUCCACAGGGAUUUUCACCGGCGCAUCGCUAAGAGCUUUACAAGUAACAGCGAAUCUUCACAGAAGCCUUCACAGACUGGCAGGCAGGUAG
rnacentral:lncRNA from 1 species